rnacentral:misc_RNA from 1 species
GCGUCCAUCAUGAACGCUGCUAACAUGGUCUGUUUUUAUAAAAUCAUUAUUCCUCAUUGUUUUAGAGUUGAUAACAUAUUUGUUGUGAAAAUGAGAUAAGAACUUUAUAGUCAUUUAGUUUUUUCUAUACUAAAAAGUUGACAUAUGGUUUGUAAGAUGCCAUGUGUUAUGAGUAUGAUUCAAACGUAAUAGUUCUAGAUUUUGCAUGGUAGAAAGUCAAUAAAAUGUCAGAAGCAGGCUGUUUGUAAAAUAUCUUCAUUCUGCUCAUGAAUUAGG